CAAGGAAUAGCUCAGUUGGGUAGAGCACCAGAUAUCUAAUCUGGCUGGCGCCGGUUCGAAUCCGGCUUCCACAC
rnacentral:tRNA from 1 species